GGCCACUCAGGGUCGCACCUGGAGAGUUACCAGUAUACUACCAGUCUCAACUGUGGGAGGAAGAGUCAAGCAGAGGCAUAUCCAUUCCAUUCCUAGCUUGGGCAGUGGCUAGCGAGUGGAAGGCAAUCUGCUACAAGU